rnacentral:rRNA from 1 species
AUUGAACGCUGGCGGCAGGCCUAACACAUGCAAGUCGAGCGAGCGGCGGACGGGUGCGUAAUGUAUGGGGACUGUCUGAUAGAGGGGGAUAACUAGUGGAAACGGUGGCUAAUACCGCAUACUGUGGGCUAACCCAUAUGGGAUUAGCUAGUAGGUAAGGGAAUGGCUUACCUAGGCGACGAUCCCUAGCUGGUCUGAGAGGAUGAUCAGCCACACUGGGACUGAGACACGGCCCAGACUCCUACGGAGGCAACAGUGGGGAAUAUUGCACAAUGGGCGCAAGCCUGAUGCAGCCAUGCCGCGUGUAUGAAGAAGGCCCUAGGGUUGUAAAGUACUUUCAGUCGGGAGGCGUUACCGACAGAAGAAGCACCGGCUAACUCCGUGCCAGCAGCCGCGGUAAUAC